AGCUCAGGCUGGAAUUCCGUCACCUCCACUAGCUUCGUUUGUAGUGAUGCUUUCUAAGGCCCACUUGACUUCACCCAGGAUGUCUCGAUGUCUUCACCUGGACUUCACUCCAGGAGGUCUGGCUCUAGUUGAGUGAUUACACGACUGUGGUUAUCUGGGCCAUUAAGAUCUUUUUUGUAUCGUUCUUCUGUGUUUUCUUGUCAGCGUGUAGAGUCUUUGAACCAGUUGACCCCCGAUCCCCUGCCCAAGUCACUCCCCAAGGCUGCUGCUCUAGCCGUGUCUGCAGGCUCCUUUCACCCUCAGAGCUACACCAUCUUCACCAUCAUUCAUUGCUCCAGGAAGCAGGUCUGCAGCACUGCUGAGGGGAAGACUGCAGGAGGUAGUGGGACAUGAGGGCCAGCUGCCACGUGCUCACAUCGGAGGCCAUGUGCCCUCUACGCAGGCUUGGGUACCACACUUACCCCACCACCUCAGCAAGUGCUCACCGUGAGCUGGGCCUGGCCUGGCAGAGACAACAGGGGACAAAGUACAAGGUCUGUCCCCAUGGAGACCUCAGCCCAGGAUGAGGAACUGACUAAGAGAAAGAAAAAAGAAGAAGAAAAACGCCCUGCAAGGGCCAAGAAGGAAACAGAAAGGAUAAGAGCGAUGGGGCUUCCUGGUGGGCUGGUCAGACAGCGCUCCUCAGAGGUGGUGACCGUAAUGAUGGGCCUGGGCCAGUGGGGAGAGGACGGACUGUUGACUCAAACUCUGUCAACUCGAACUCUGAGUUGAGUGGUUUCAGGGUGCUGUGUCAUCUGGUCCCCAGGCUGACCUUGUGAGAUCUCAUCCCUGUUUCAGAGGUGUAGGAACAGGUUCAAGGAGGGGAAGGAACCCCUGGUUACAGCAAAGUUGUGGUAGAGCUGGAAGCUCAGACUUUUCAGCUCCAUAGCCUGUGUGCUGGCAGCCACACUGCUGGGAUGGUGGAGAGGUGGCCAGGUGAUGAGGCUAGACAGGUGAUGCAGGGCUGUUUACACUUUUAUCUGGAUGCAGUAUGGUGGUUCUCUAAACAGGUGGAGCUUUGGAAAGAUUUUAUCUGAUGAUUUUUUUUAAUGGCUUUGCUGCAAUUUAUUUUACAUAUCAAAUUCACCAUUUCAGUGUUUUUUUUUUUUAAAGCAAAUUUACAGAGUUGACCAACUGUCACAAUGGAAUUUUAGAACAUUACAAAACCUAAAAAGGUCCCUAGUACCUAUUUGCAGUCACUCCCCAUUCCUACUACCCGCACCAUGUAACCACUAAGCCUUCUGCCUCUAUUUUUGUUUUUUUUUUUUUUUGCCUUUUCAGGGUAUUCAUCAUAAAUAUUUCAUGUCUCAUUCCCUUCACUGAGAACAAUGGUCUUGGUGUUGGUUCCUCGGCAUUGUGGUGUGUCUUAGUAAUUCCUUUGUAUUGCCAAAUGGCAUCUCAUAUGGACUUUUUGGGUUUUAUUUAUUCAGUUAAACAAUGGUGGACGUUUGAGUUGUUUCUAGUUCUUGACUGUUAUGAAUAAUAUUGCCGUGAACAUUUGUGUAUAUGUUUUUUUGUGAACAUAAUGUUUUCAUUUCUCUUGGAUAAAUAACCUAAGAGUAGAAUUGCUAGGUCACUCUUUUUAAAUUUGGUGAAUUAUUAGGUUUAACUUUUUAAGAAACUGUCAAACUAUUUUCUAAAGUGACUCUACUAUUUUACAUUUCCCCCAGCAGUGUGUGAGGAUUCCAGUUUCUCCAUAUCCUCACUUGUUACUUUCUUUUUGUUUACAGCGGUUCUAGUUGAGUGUGAAAUGGUAUCUUGUUUGAAUUUGCAUUUUCCUAAUAACUAAUCAUGUUGGAUGUUUUUUCUUGUGCUUAUUUUCCACCCACAUAUUUUUGGGGUGAAAUGUGUGUUCAAAUCUUUUACCCACUUUUAAUAGCUUUUAACGGGGUUAUUUAUCUUUAUUAUUGAGUUGUAAGAUUUCUUUAUUUCUUGAUUACAAGCCCUUUAUGAUGUUUUGAUUUGCAGAUAUUUUCUCCCAAUCUGUGGUUUGUCUUUUGAUUUUCUUAAUGGUAUAUUUGAAGUGCAAAUAUUUGUGGUUUUGAUGCAGUUUAGUUUAUUAAUGUUUUUCUUUCAGUGGUUGGACUUUGGUGUCAUAUCCCAGAAAUCUUUGCCUAACCCAAGGUUGUGGAAAUUUUUGCUGGUGUUUUCUUCUAAGAGGUUUAUAGUUUUGGCUUUUACAUUUAUCCAUUUUUAGUUAAAUUUUGUGGAUGUUGUGAAGUAAGGCUGUAAGUCAGGUGUUGGCAGUUUUUCUGUAAAUGACCAGAAAGUAAAUACUUUCUGUUUUGCUGAGCAGAAAGUCUUUAUCACUGUUACUCAACUCUGCCAUUUUACGGUGAAAGCAGCUAUAGGUAGUAUGUAAAAUGAGUGGGUGUGGCUGUGAUCCAGUAAAACUUUAUUUAUAAAAUAUUUAUAAAAUUUAUAAAAUCAGGUUUUGAGUUGGAUUUGGCUCAAGCACCUGAGCAUGUUGAACUCUGUCAGUCUUUUUUUUUUGUAUGAAAUACUUAAUUUUUCUAGCUCCGUUGUUGAAAAGACUACCCUUUCCCCAUCUGAAUUACCUUGGGACCUUGGUGAACAUCAGUUGACCAUAAACAUUAGGGUUCAGAAUUUAUAUCUUGACUCUUAAUUCUGUUUAAAUUCCACUGACUUGUAUGCUAUAUGUCUAUCUUUUUGCCAGUACAAAACUGUCAUGAUUAUUGAAGCUUUGUGGGAAGUUUCAAAAUAGGGAAGUAUAAGACUCCAAUUUUGUUCCUUUUUUUCCCACGAUUGUUUGGCUGUUUUAAGUCCUUAGCAUGUCCACACAUAUUUUAAGAUCAAUUUAUCAGCUUCUGUAAAAAGCCUACUGGGAUUUUGAUGGGGUUUGUGUUGAAUCUAUAAGAUUAUGUUGGGAGAAUUGUCACUUUAACAAUAUGGAGUCUUCUAGGCUGUGAAUAUGAAAUCUCUUUUUCUUUAUUUAGAUCUUUUAAAGUUUUUCUCAGUGGUAUUUUAUACUUUCAAUGUAUAAGGUUUGCAUUUCUUUAAAAAUUAUUCCCAAGCAUUUUAUUCUUUAUGAGGCUACUGUGAAUGGAAUUGUUUCCUUAAUUUCGUUUGUGAAUUCUUCACUGCUAGCAUAUGGAAAUGCAGUUCAUUUUUGUAUAUUGAUCUUGUGUCCAGCACCUUUGCUGAACUCAUUCAUUAGCUCUAGUAGGGUUUUCUGGUGUGUGUGUAUUCCUUAAGGUUUACGUAGGUAUGAUCAUGGUGCCUGCAAAAUGAAGAGAGUUUUACUUCUUCCUUUCCUGUCUGGAUGCCCUUGCUUUCUUUUUCAUGCCUUGUUGUGUUGGCUAGAAUGUCCACUGCAGUAUUGAGUAGAAUUGGUGAGAACGCAUGUCUUGGUGCUGAAUUCAGGGAGAAAACAUUGUCUUACACCACUGAGUAUGUUAGCUGUACGUUUUUCAUAGUUACUCUUUAUCAGAUUGGCGAUUUUAUCUUUUAAUAUUCUCAUCACCCCUUCCUCUGCAUUCUUAUAGCCUGUUUUUCUUCUGUAAGCUUGGGGAGUGCAGACUGCCUUACUCACUAGCUUCUGGAUCAUUAGUAUGUGUGUGUUGAAUUGUGUGGUUGGAUUGGCAACUUGAGGAUCAUUUUCACCCAAGCUGGUGACCUGUGACCUGAGAGCCUUAUUCUUCUGCAUUUCACUCUUUCAAGGCUUCACUCUUUCCGCAUGUGUGCAGCGGACUUCCUUUUCCACCUUGCCGUUACCCAGUGACAUGCAUCUCGAAUGUCUCAAUGUGACCGUCAACACUCCUGAUUGUGUCACGUUACAUCACAUCCUUUGGUUUAGCACCUGUUAGGAUUAGUGUGGAGAACAGGAGAGGCCAGGGCACCUGGCCUGGAGCCCUGACUCCCAGGGGGCCACAUCUUCCUCUUUACGUGUGGGGCAGGGCUGUGCUCAACACAGGUGCCUCACUGGCUUGGUCAUGAGUCCUCCCCACUCUCGCCCUGCUCAGUGCUGACCAUUGGUGAGUGCUGUGGAUGGCUCACAACAGGAAACACCGACUAAGACAGCCGGGAGUCGGAUAACCCAGUUCUCCCCAGCUUUGCUGCGAGCACAUGUGUGUGUCUGGGUGUGGAGUCUGGCAGUGUGGCUUGGGUGCUGGUCCCAGGCCGGACACUUUCCAGAUCGGUACUCCUUGAUGCUCCCAGAACACCACAUCUCCCGGAGCCAAGGUCUCUGGACACAAAGGAGCUGAUUCUGCAGGGGAGCAGAGCACUUUUGGUCCCUCCCCCUGGGCCCAAGCUGCUGAGGGCGAGGGUUGUCCUAAAGGUGGGAUGGUGCCCUUGUUCCUCGGCUUGGGCUCCCAGACUUGCCGUGUGUGGGGACAGCGGAGCUGGCGAUCAGGGCACCUCUGGGCGUCCUGUCAUGUCCUCUGGGUAGUACCGUGGUAUAACCAGUAAUGAAUUUACAUGGGGGGAGUGCCCAGGUGACUUUGGGGGGUGUGCCUCAUGGAAGGUGAAAUUCCAUGCUGCCACCUGUGACUGUGCAGAGCAGCGCUGAAUGUCUUCUUGGGUCAAGGGUCAAUUCAUGUAAACAUAAAGGGGUUGUCCACUUUGGCUCCUAUCGGCUCAUCUUGAGUCCACUUGCUCUCUUGACCCUGCGGGUCCCACCCUGGAGGGAGGUCACUGUGUGUCUCCUGCGGUCCCUGGUUCCCAGGACCCCACUGCCGUCCCUGCAGAGCGCUUCCUUUUCAGCCCUCCUUCCCUCCUGCACCCCGCCCUGGCCACCUCCUUCGUCUGUACUUGUGAGCUGUUGGUGACUGGAUUCUAAACCCAGCCCAGAGCUGUCCAGCGCUGCUGUCCGGGUCUUCCUGCGGUUCCCCCGGCAUCUCUCAUUCACCGUGUCCCCCGGGCUCACGUGUCCCCUGCUGCCUCUCUGGAACGCGUCAUGUUCCUCACGUGUGAAGGUCCAUCCAGCUGGUCCUCACCCAGGAGGCUGGGUGUGCUUUUGCUCUUCGUCCAGUGACAACUCUUGUGUCUUCCCUUCCCCUGCUUCUAUUUUACCCUUUCCUCUUUCCCCUCAGGAACGCUUGAUCUCAGUCAGGCCCACCCCUCCUUCCCCUGCGUCUCUGAUAAAUUGUUCUUUCUCCCAACAGGCUUGCCUCCCACAAAUCUGCCCUUGCUGGUGCUAGCAGGGUCAUGUGUUUUGAAAAGGUAGACUUUACUUUUGAGCAGGUGUCAGACAGUGGUGAUAGAACCCUUACAGUUGCAAUGGAGGUUCCUCCCUUGCGGGUCCAGUGGCCUUGCUCCCAGAGGCGGCCCCGCCAGUGGCCAGGUCAGUGAUCACCUCAGGGUUGAUGCUCGGGAUGCAGCCUGCUUCCGUCUCCUUCUUAGGUGCUUCCCACUGCCCCCAGCGGUUUCCGGGCCUGACUCACGGGGCCCUGUGCGUGCUGGCGUCACCUUCUCCUGUCAUUGCCCAUCCCUCGGGGAGGAUGUGUGCUCCCGUCCUGCCGUUCACGCUUCUGUGCCCCUCUGUCUGCAGGACGGUCCACGGGAAAAUGACACGCUGCACAGUGAGUGGCGAGCCUGGGGCCAGAAAUUAGGGUCGUCGCAGCCUCAGAGCACUGGGCAGACUAGAGACAGGCUCACAGACAACUGAAGGACUAGCCAACAGAAUUUCCACGGCAACCGCUGCAGCAAAGCAGAGGCAUCUUCUUAGAGUCGCAGGAGGGCAGAGCCACCUGGGCCUGGAUGUCCGGGUCUCGUCUGGAGCCUGUGCGGUGCUCGGCCUGCUCGCAGGAGCCGUGGGCCAGGGAAGGAGGGUGCAGCAGGCACCCAGAGGGUCCUCAGAAGACGGAGCGCGAAUGGCCGUGGCCUGAAGGCCCCCACCCCGCAUCCUGUGUGAGGCCGUGAGGACGUCACCUGGAGCACCCAGAGCCUUGCUUGAUGUGAAGAACGGUGCUUGGAAAGCAGCCUCCUUGCAGCCGCCUCUCACACGUGUCUAGAGGGGUCGCUUUCUCAGACUAAAAGCUGUUAAUUUUCAUGUUGAUGUUUUCCUAAUUAAGUAGGCCAUUGGUGAGCACAGGCGUGCUCCGCCUUCCACUGCCUACCCUGGGCUCAGUAAAGCACCGUCCACGGCAGGAGAGGCGGCUUACAGACCUUCUCCUCCUGGGACCCGCCUUCUCCCCCCUGCUGUGAGAACCGACUUGUCCCCUCGCCGCAGCCCGGCUCCCUGUGGCUGCCCUCACCGAGUGUCCCUCAGGGAUCUAGAUCUGCCCGUGGCCUCUGUGCUGAGGCCCGUCUGUGCUGCCCUGGGGCAGGGGAGCCCCUGGCAUCUGCCGGGUCGAGUUCCUCCCGCAGCUGGGAGCUGCCGCCCCUUCCAGAUGGUGGGGCCCUCUCACCCUGUCUCUAGUCUGCCCGGUGCUCCGAGGCUGCGACGACCCUGAUUUCCGGUCCCAGGUGGCCACCCGCUGUGCAGCCUGUCGUUUUCCCGUGGACUGAAGCUGCUGGGUUGGACUCAGGACGGGCACACACGGAACAAGGCCCCGCUGUGUGCGCCGUGCUGUGGGUCACCCCGCUCCGCGCCUGUGUCCAGCCGGCUGUGCGGUCUCUUCACCGUGGGCCUCGGAGCGGCCCUGUGCAGCUGAGCCGUGUGACCGCCCGCACCGUGAGCUACUGCCAUGCCACAGAGGGGCACAUGGAGCAGACAGGGAUACCUGCCCGGGGUCAGGCAGCCAGUGGUCGCUUGGUUGGCUUCUGACCCAGGCCCAUCUGGCCCCACAGCCCCUGUCCUUGCUCUGCACCAGCCGCUUCAGCGUGCCGGGCCCCGUUUCCGGGUGUGGAACAGGAAGCUUCCAGAAGGGAGGAGUGGGUCAGGGCCCCGCAGCUGGGUGUGGGUGGACUCCUCCUUCCCAGCGCUGCUCGGGGUUGGGCCCUCCGCCCCCUGACCGUGCCCAGCUCCCUGUGCCCAGCUCUGAUAGCACAGUGACCGGUGGGCCUCAGGCCCCGAGUCCCCAGACCUGUCUGCUCUGGGGCCUCCGUUCUGGUUGUGUUGGUGCAGGGAGCGCUGCCCAGAUGGUGUUUAUUCUCGCAUGACUACUGUGUGUGUGUCUGUGUGUAUUUGUUGAUUAAAAAUAUUCCUUGCUUUAUUUUGCAGCAACAUUAAAAAAUAUUACGAAUCUCCUCCUGCCCCUGAGAAGCUUGCCAGUGUUUUCCUUAACCCCUCGCUCACCAGGUGGUGAAGUUUGGUGGGUCCCCCUGGGGGCCUGGGACGAGGAAACCAGAGCCCCCCCCCACACUGUGCAGAGCUCCCCCG